rnacentral:rRNA from 1 species
AACGAACGCUGGCGGCGCGCCUAACACAUGCAAGUCGAACGAGAAGGCGUAGCAAUACGCUUGUACAGUGGCGAACGGGUGAGGAACACGUGGGUAACCUACCCUCGAGUGGGGAAUAACCAACCGAAAGGUUGGCUAAUGCCGCGUAAGCUUCCAUCUCUUCGGAGGUGGAAGGAAAGCUGUACCGUGGGUACAGCGCUCAAGGAUGGGCUCACGUCCUAUCAGCUUGUUGGAGGGUAACGGCCUACCAAGGCAACGACGGGUAGCUGGUCUGAGAGGACGAUCAGCCACACUGGCACUGCGACACGGGCCAGACUCCUACGGGAGGCAGCAGUGAGGAAUAUUGCGCAAUGGGGCGAAAGCCUGACGCAGCGACGCCGCGUGGGGGA